UACGGAGGGUGCAAACGUUGCUCAGAAUCAUUGGGCGUAAAGCGCACGUAGGCGGCCUGUUAAGUCGGGUGUGAAAGCCCUGGGCUCAACCCAGGAAGUGCACUCGAAACUGGCGGGCUUGAAUAUGGAAGAGGGUCGCGGAAUUCCCGGUGUAGAGGUGAAAUUCGUAGAUAUCGGGAGGAACACCAGUGGCGAAGGCGGCGACCUGGGCCAAUAUUGACGCUGAGGUGCGAAAGCGUGGGGAGCAAACAGG
rnacentral:rRNA from 1 species